UAUUUUUGAACGCCUCUCGACGGCACUCACACUCCGAAGAAGGGGAACAAAAUCGCCCCCCCAAAAGAAAAACGCGAGAAAGAAAGAGGGCCAACAAACACAUCUAAAAAUCGAAGAAUUAUCAUGAAAUUAGUGUGGAAGAAUCAGACCAAGAGGGAGGGGGGAGGGAAGAAGCGAUCUCGAUCGCAAUCCAUCUAUUUAAAUCCCAAUCUCCCAUUCGGAGCCGAGGAAGAUGAAGGAGGAGGAGAUGCAAGGAAUUCCGAUGGCUCGAAAACCGUAGCUGUCGAUUCAAGAGAAGACGACCCGAGGAAGCUCGUCGAAUCCUUCCAAUCUCAAGGGAAUCAGCUCGCCGAGAAUGGAAGGUAUCGUGAAGCUCUUGGGAAGUGGGAGGCUGCACUUACCCUGAUGCCUGAAAAUGCAAUACUGCAUGAACAAAAGGCACAGGUUUUACUUGAGAUAGGUGAUGCAUGGAAUGCCUUGAAAGCUGCAACACGAGCUACAGAAUUGGAACCCUCAUGGCUUGAGGUCUGUUGAUAACACUAUGUCAUCUUAAGAAGCGUUGGAUUACACUUGGUAGAGCACAGUUGAACUUUGGUGAACCUGAUUCUUCGGUGGAGAGCUUUGACAGGGCUUUAGCAAUUAAGCCCGAUUGUGAGGAAGCACGGAUUGAUCGAGAAACUGCUUUACAUUUGAUGAGGAAGCGAAAACAACUACACUCAUCAGGCUUGAGUACUGCUGAUACUCGUUUUAAGGUUGGAGAUAACGCAGAACAUUCCUGAGACUUUUCAGUUGUAGAUAUGUUGUAUAAUUUGAGCUUAGUAGAGGGUCAAGUAUUUGACUGUUUAUGAACAAAUAUAUUCUGCAAACUUGGUUAAUUAAACCUCAGUUAGUUUAAGCUGCUAUAACUGUUUCUGAAAAGUUUGUGCUGAGAGACAGAACACUGCACCCACUUUAAGUGCAUGGAUGUAACAUUAGCAUUGUGAUCAAGGGAGUAAUAUAAUAAUAUUUUAAUAA